CAGAAAUAUUCCAAAACCUUGUUUAACAUUUAGUAUCACGAAAAUAGAAGACGAUAGUCCUUGGAAACACUGGACAGGCCACUUUUUCCAUCGCGUUUUCCUAUUAGAAAGUACAGAGGGACCUGUUACACGGUUCAACCCCCUUUCGAAACGUAUAAGUCGUGUUUCUCGGCAACUUUUCGUCCUCUUUCGCGGACACGUGAAUAAUAAACACGGCGGGAAGGGAGAACGCGAGUGCGGUAUGAAGCCGUUUCGGAAACAUCAAGGAGGAAGUCAAACUCUCUCGAUUCUCUGACAAGCUGCCAAGCGUCUGAGGUCGCGGUUACGUAAGCGACGUGAAGCGCCUCGGGCCCCCGAUUCGAUUCAUCGUCCAACAAUAAUUCAUCGAUCGCGUUUUAUGCGCGUAUCAGCCCAGAUAUCACGCUGCUCGUGGAAGCAGGAAAAAUGUAGAACCGCACGAUCCUUGAUACACUACGUUCGGUAUCGGUUGAUUAAUAUCGGAGUGGAAGUGAAGUAAACAGCACCUUGCCGUGGAGAUAUUCUCUUUUCCGAUCGACGUUCGAUUUUUUUUUCCAGAUCGGAAGUAGAAUUGUGGUCCUCGCGCGUGGAGAGAAGAACAAAGUGAGAAUUAUGACCCUCGAGAAGAUUAUGAACCAGAGAACGAGAAAAAAUAAUAUUUUAGUAAAUGGUGAAGUGAAGUGAAGUGAAGGUAUUAAAAGUAUUAAAAUAAUUUUUAAUUGAAUAAACAAGUAUUGCCGUGAAAUUAUUGCAAACUGAUUUUUAGAUAAUCCUCGAGAAGAUUAUGAGCCGAAGAACGGAAAAAAUAGUAUUUUAAUAAAA